AGUGGCGAACGGGUGAGUAAUGCAUCGGAACGUGCCCAGUCGUGGGGGAUAACGCAGCGAAAGCUGCGCUAAUACCGCAUACGAUCUGCGGAUGAAAGCGGGGGACCGUAAGGCCUCGCGCGAUUGGAGCGGCCGAUGUCAGAUUAGGUAGUUGGUGGGGUAAAGGUUCACCAAGCCAACGAUCUGUAGCUGGUCCGAGAGGACGACCAGCCACACUGGGACUGAGACACGGCCCAGACUCCUACGGGAGGCAGCAGUGGGGAAUUUUGGACAAUGGGCGCAAGCCUGAUCCAGCAAUGCCGCGUGCAGGAAGAAGGCCUUCGGGUUGUAAACUGCUUUUGUACGGAACGAAACGGUCCUGGUUAAUACCUGGGGCUAAUGACGGUACCGUAAGAAUAAGCACCGGCUAACUACGUGCCAGCAGCCGCGGUAAUACGUAGGGUGCAAGCGUUAAUCGGAAUUACUGGGCGUAAAGCGUGCGCAGGCGGUUGUGUAAGACAGGCGUGAAAUCCCCGGGCUCAACCUGGGAAUUGCGCUUGUGACUGCACAGCUGGAGUGCGGCAGAGGGGGAUGGAAUUCCGCGUGUAGCAGUGAAAUGCGUAGAUAUGCGGAGGAACACCGAUGGCGAAGGCAAUCCCCUGGGCCUGCACUGACGCUCAUGCACGAAAGCGUGGGGGAGCAAACAGGAUUAGAUACCCUG
rnacentral:rRNA from 1 species